ensembl:lncRNA
UUCUUGCUGGAGAUCCCUGUGUGCUUGAGACCUUCCUCAGGAAAAAUCAACCUACGGUUGAGGAACAAUGUGAACGUGAAGCCAGGUUUGCUGGAUGAGAUUUGUCUCGUGGCUAUUCAACUACCUGGGCUCUCCCUCUUCUGCACAGGACAGGAAGAGAAAUCAAGCUGGAACAGCUGGUGGGAGAUGGCCUACUGGCUAGCGUUAAAGGAAACAGAGUUUGGACUUUGGGAAAAUUGAUUUCAUUUAUUCUGGGUAAUCUUGAACACUGCUAUGCUUUUCUCUGAUUUUGAAUUAAUAGAAAUCAGAUAUAUGCUCUUACUGAUUUGAUGAAACUUAAAUAAAUUCACGUGGUGAGGAGAG